rnacentral:miRNA from 1 species
AAAGCAGUCAUAGGGCAACUCUCCUUUGGCAGAUAAUGAUAAUUCAGUAGACAUAUGACGUAUCAUUUACAUAUUGUAACACAUAUAACAUCAUAUGCCAAAGGAGAGAAGCCCUAGAACUGCUUU